GGGUUGUGAGGUUAAGCGACUAAGCGUACACGGUGGAUGCCCUGGCAGUCAGAGGCGAUGAAGGGCGUGCUAAUCUGCGAUAAGCGCCGGUAAGGUGAUAUGAACCGUUAUAACCGGCGAUACCCGAAUGGGGAAACCCAGUGUGACUCGUCACACUAUCAUUAACUGAAUCCAUAGGUUAAUGAGGCGAACCGGGGGAACUGAAACAUCUAAGUACCCCGAGGAAAAGAAAUCAACCGAGAUUCCCCCAGUAGCGGCGAGCGAACGGGGAGGAGCCCAGAGCCUGAAUCAGCAUGUGUGUUAGUGGAAGCGUCUGGAAAGGCGCGCGAUACAGGGUGACAGCCCCGUACACAAAAGCGCAUGUGCUGUGAGCUCGAUGAGUAGGGCGGGACACGUGGUAUCCUGUCUGAAUAUGGGGGGACCAUCCUCCAAGGCUAAAUACUCCUGACUGACCGAUAGUGAACCAGUACCGUGAGGGAAAGGCGAAAAGAACCCCGGCGAGGGGAGUGAAAAAGAACCUGAAACCGU
rnacentral:rRNA from 47 species